CGCCUACGGGGCGCAGCAGUCGGGAAUAUUGCGCAAUGGAGGAAACUCUGACGCAGUGACGCCGCGUAUAGGAAGAAGGUCUUCGGAUUGUAAACUAUUGUCGUUAGGGAAGAAAAAGGACAGUACCUAAGGAGGAAGCUCCGGCUAACUACGUGCCAGCAGCCGCGGUAAUACGUAGGGAGCAAGCGUUAUCCGGAUUUAUUGGGUUUAAAGGGUGCGUAGGCGGUUCGAUAAGUUAGAGGUGAAAUCCCGGGGCUCCACUCCG
rnacentral:rRNA from 1 species